rnacentral:misc_RNA from 1 species
AACAAGUUGGAGGUGGUUCGGCCUCGGGGCCUGCCUGCCACAGAAGUUUACUCUGAAGAGGUUGUUGAAGCUUUCAGAGUUUCCCCUUAUUUCAUCCAUUUGGAAGCAGUUAAUUGGAUUCAUGAGAUUAAAGGAAAUACUUAUACAAACCUAAAUAAUUAUGCAAACCUUUCUGCAAUUUAUGUUGGAGAUGCAUCAGAGAUAAAGCAUUUUGCAGUUACUGACCAUCUGCGUCAUGGGAUACUUAAUUCCCUAGUCUACUUCUGGAACCUGUUGCUCUUGUAAUAAGCCUUGAGGACAAGGCUAUUUUCAGGGGGACUGAAGGGAAGAGAGAAAAGAAGCAGGAAGAUGUAUUCUAGGUGAAGCAAGAAAGUGCUGGUAGGAUUGCAAUUGGUUGGACAGCUCAUUUCAAUUUUGUUGUAAUUCUCGGGUGCAUGUGAUGCACCAGCGGGGAAUGCUAUAUAUAGGAGAGAAAGGGCAGCGUGAGGAGAGGAAAAGUUGUCUUGUAUUUUUCCAGCUAGUAGAUAGCUUGGGGGCAGUAGUCAUACUGCUGGGGGGUAAGAGAGGUCUUAGCGUCUUGUAUCCACCUGUAAUUCUGAAAUUAAUCAAUAAAAUCCUCCAUUCUCAUUGCUAUUGCAAUUUCUCUGUUUCUGUUCUUCCAUUUUCUGCUAUAGUUGAUUCCUUACUCUAUCAGUACAGCAGCUUAUUAUGGAAGAGUGAAGCUGGAUCUGUGUCAUUUUGAAGGGUUACAAGUGUGUUCUAGAAGAUGCAAGUAGUUAUGACAGCCUAGAAGUAGUGUUAAUAUCCCACAUCGAUUUAGGAUAAGGGUAAUGUGCCCUCUAUAAAAGCUUAGACAUUCCUCUCUCCUUGAACUGACUUUCGGAGGUAAGCAAGGCCCAGCCCAUUUUAUUAAGAUGGUAUUGGAGCCUUCCCAAUUGACGUUGGGCCUCUCAUAAGUGUUUCACGUUCACGCUCUUAAGUGUUCGAUUCUAGAUGUGAGAGGAGUAUAUUAAUAUCCCAAAUCAGUUUGGGAUAGGGGUAGUGUGCCCCUUAUAAAGCCUUUGGGCAGUCCUCCCCCUUGAGCUAACUUUUUGGGGGUGAGUUAGGCUUGGCCCAUUUUACUAAGAAGUAGAUAGAAGGAAGUUACAACUGUUAGUUGACUCACUCUAGAAGUCUUUGUACUGACCAAUGAGAAUUUAGUAGUCAGCUAGACAGUUAUUAGGCAGAGAAUAUAUAAAGGAGAAGAUCCUUUUCUGUAAAGUCACUCUUGAAUUUCCAGAAAUAAUAUCUUCUCUUCCCUCUCUCUCUCUCUCUCUCU